GAUGAACGCUGGCGGCGUGCCUAAUACAUGCAAGUCGAACGCUGGAGAUCUAGCUUGCUAGAUCGAAGGAGUGGCGAACGGGUGAGUAAUACAUAAGCAACCUACCCACGAAGACUGGGAUAAUCUCUGGAAACGGGGACUAAUACCGGAUAGGUAAUCGGAAGGCAUCUUCUGGUUAUUAAAGGUUAAAAACACUGGUGGAUGGGCUUAUGGCGCAUUAGUUAGUUGGUGAGGUAACGGCCCACCAAGACGAUGAUGCGUAGCCGGCCUGAGAGGGUGAACGGCCACAUUGGGACUGAGACACGGCCCAGACUCCUACGGGAGGCAGCAGUAGGGAAUUUUCGGCAAUGGGGGCAACCCUGACCGAGCAACGCCGCGUGAGUGAAGACGGCCUUCGGGUUGUAAAGCUC
rnacentral:rRNA from 1 species